CGCAACUCCCAGCCACGACUGCAAGAUCCCAUCUCUCCUGGUUUAUCGCCCAAGUCCAGCGAGGAAGUGUCGCUCAUCCGAUUGCUGCCUAUCCCGGCUAAUCUAAACCUCUGCAAACGCGGUGACCACCGCACCGGAGUUGGGUAGUGAGCGAACUCGCCAAACUUGGGACCGGCCUACCCAGCAGACCCAGACAAGCAGCAUGAUGUCCUACAUCAAGCAACCGCAUUACGCCGUCAAUGGACUCACCCUCACCGGCUCGGGCAUGGACCUCCUGCACUCGGCGGUCGGAU